UUAAUAUUGCAUACAUAUUACAUAAAUUAUAUAUUUUUUUCAAAAUAAAACUUAAAAAAAAAGUAAAGAAAGAAAUCCUAAAGCUAAAUCCCCUCCACCUCUUAACUCUCUCCCUUUUCUCUGUCGGCAGCAGCGUGUCUACCCAUGGCGCAGCAAUGGGAGCACAGGCAGCACGACAAAAGCGGUGCCAGCAGAGCCAGAUACCUCUUUUAGUUUUCUUCUCUGUUUCCCUAUUGCUCACCCUCUCAUUUUUGUAUCUCUCUGUCUUCUACAGUUGGUGGUGGCGAUGGGGCUUGGUACGUUGACAAAGGGAUCCUGUUACCCUCCCUUCUGCUACGUUACUGUAAGUAUCUUCCCAUCUCUUGUUUUUUUUUCAUCUAUCUAUUUUGGGCUUCGAUGGGGGCUUUGAGCUUUACCGUGACUGGGAUUGAUAGAGGACAGAGAUGGUGGACGCUGCGAGCCCAAGAAGUUUUGUUUGUGAAUUCGGAGUUAUGACCGCCAAAUUAUCUACCUUCGUCAUUUGGGAGAAUUGAUCUGAAAACAACAUAGUGGAAGUGGUAGUACUAGUACUAAUUACUUGAAACAAAUCAAACACCACUCAAAGUCGUCCAACAUCAAUCUGUUUGAAGUUUAUGAGUCUUUCAGAGUAGCACAAUGAUCGACAAGUACGUUGAAAUGGCGGUGUUAGGGAUGCCAUCUGUGCACUCACGUGGGGGGUUGGAAGGAUGAGGCAAUCAAGCCCUUGUGGGUUUCUGUCUGUUUGCAGUGUAAAGUCUUGGUCAGCCACUAACGACAGUUGUACUAGUGGAAGGAAGUGGUGAUCUUCGACUUCGAGAUUGAGAAUAUGUAGAGUAAUGGACGUGCAUGGUUGGGUGUGUCCCAGAUGUGAAUGGGCGGAGGGCAGGAAGGAGUUUGAUUUAUGAAGUUGUUAGUUACUAUAGUGAAAGGGAAGAGAGGUUGGAUUUGGUUUGUUCACCCCACGACUUAGGUCGAGAAUGUAACACCCCAAAUUUGCUAAUAAGGCUUAGUGCCUUAAUUAGCGUGUUGAGAUGACAAUAAAUGAUUUAAUUGUAUUUUUACGUGAUUAAUCAUGAUAUAUGUACAUCAUUAUUUGAUUGUAAUAUGAUUAGAAAUGCAUGUUUAGGUGUAUUAAAUAUGCAUGUGGAUCCGUUAUUAUUAAUAAGGACAUAUUUGUAAUUUUUGACCCA